GGUUUAUAUUUAGUGCAGCAGUUUGCGGUACAUCGUUCAAAAAUUAGGAUCAAACCAAGACGCGUUUUAUACUUUUUCAUACUCUUGUCAUAAUUUUUAUUUAGUGAUUCUUUUUUGAGUUCUUAGUUUUUUUAUUAUUCAUUCCUUUGUUUCUUUCUUUAGUGGGUUGUUUAUUUUUGAUACAACACAUGAACUACGUUAUUUUUAACAACAAACAUAAGAAACUUUAAGAUUACACUAUACUAAUAAUAAUCAUUUUAAUCAUAAUAUUAUCAGUGUCAAUGAAGAAAGGAAACAACUAGAACUGUACGAGCCUUCUAACAAAGUUUACCAACAAACCAAAUAUCUCCGUUUCAGUGUUAACUCGUGUGUUCGAGUUACUUCCAAUUUUAUUUAGAAGAACUUCUAAAAAGAGAGAGAACAACUUUUUGUUCCUUCCUCUUUUUACCCAAAAGUUAGUCAUCAUUGAUUCGAUACAAUUCCUAAGAAAGAUGAGCACACUUAUGAUGCCAGCAGCUACUAUGACGACCAUGACUAAUACUGCUCCAAUUGCAGUCUCUCAACCCAAGUCCGAUCCAAAUAAAAUGGUUGGCAUGAUUAAUAACAGCAGCAAACAAGGUAAGAUAAAAACAAAAUAGUUCGAUUCGUGAAGAGUUCUGCCGACGCAUAUGCACUAAUAGUAAAUUUUAAAGAUUGUUUUAUGUUGCUGCACUCGAUAUGUAAAUCAUAAUAUUCAGUAAUAC
rnacentral:lncRNA from 1 species